rnacentral:lncRNA from 1 species
UACUGCUUUGUCGUUAGAUGCCCAAGGCCACCUUCGUGGGCACACGACCCGAGCAGUCACACAGGACCCUGUGAUCAGAAUGGCCUCACUUGGGUUUAAUACUCUGCUGUCUUCAUCUUAAAAUUCUUAAUAAUUUAAUGUUUGAGCCCGUGCUUUGUAAGUGAAGUCUGAUGGAACAACGGAGCAUGCGCGUGAGUAGAGGAGAUACAGACGAUACGUGUGUCUGAGUUUUUUGUGGCUCCAUUAGCAUAUGGUGUUGAUGAUGCCCCCUGAGCACAGAAUUCUGGUGAGCCCACAAUGCAUGGGAGUUCAGCGAGAUUCAAUGCCAGUACAAGGUCCACUUUUGGAAACUCCCAUCAUGCCUCCUGCCUAUGGAUCAUCUCUUUGGCUGAGAACCGAGCUAACUCACUCAAGAUCCCAAUUAGUGACUCCUCAUGAGAUGGAAGUAAUUCUCCGGCAUCGUCCUCAUUUGAUUUCAGAAAAUCCAGCAGUUCUGGACUUCACAGUUGCACCACACGGUAUUGGGCUGUGGUCUGCUUCCUGGCAACCAAAGGGCAGGACAUAGGUAGCUGAUAAGGAAGGAGUGAAGGAUGUCUGCGUGGGGGCAAAUUUCAUGCAAAAUUCAUUACUGAAUAUUUCUGUAAUAUGACAAUUUCUGCUUUCCUAGCCAACCAUACAACUGCAGAGAUCCACAGAGCUACCGUUUGAGGAAUAAGGAACCCUGUACAUAGCCAGGGGCAUUCUAAAAUCCCCAAACUUGAAUCCUACUUCCGACUUUGCUAGGACACCGCAGGAAUUACCAUCAAAGAAGGAAAAAGAUGCACAGAAGUUUCCCAUUCGACAGCUACGAUUCUACAACCCCAUAGUCUUUCUAAACCACAGGCUGCAUUUUC